CGCGAGGCGGCCAGACUGAGGCGCGGCUUUGCUGUGCGGAGUCCGCCGGGCGCACCGGGCAGUCGUAGACACACCGGCUGGGGCGCCUCGUGGUUCGCUGGUCUCCGGGUGCGGUGGAGACCGGCUGGGACGCCUCCCCGCCAGCCUGAGUUCACACCUCUGUGGGGGAGCCGGGCGGGAAGGUGGCCACGAGACAUGAAACAACACGGUCCCAGAGAGCCCUAGGAGCGGAACGGGGAAAUUUAGAGGAAUGGGCCAAAGCGUGGGGACAAGGGAGGCGGGAAGUCCCGGAGGGGCUCUCUAUGCAGAUGACUUUAGAGUCCUGGACGGUAAGAGGAAGGCGGCCCGGGAAGAUCGGCAGGAAGGGUGUUCCGGAAGGAACCUCCUGCCUGGAGGGGUUGCCUGGAGCCAAAGGGCGCCCAUGGACUUUAACGCCAGGCUCCUCUGUCCAUGGGGAUUAUCCAGUGUUGCCUGAGAAGGAUUGAUCCACUCCCAAGACUUGAUCCACAAAACACUGAAGUGAGGCCCCAUGGGGACAUGGAGCCAGAAUGCCAGCCCAACUGUGUGUGACCUACAGCCCCGUGGUCUUCUGCUAUUACCUUGCUUCUCUACACGUCAUCUCUGGCCCCUGGGAAUUUACCUUGUGGACUCAGCAGAGGUUGAGAGAUCUUUAGAAGGAUGCUCUCUCUGCAGCACUGUUUAUAAUAGAAAGUGGAAAGCACCAAAGCCAGGUUAGAGAAUAGCUAAACAAAUCAUGGCCCACCUCACAGUAUUUAAAAAUGCUAAUUAUAAAGGUAAUGAAAACACAAGGAAAGGCCAAAGAUAAUACAGUAAUUUUUAAAAAGCCGCAUGCAAAAUGGUUUGUACGCUAUGAUUACAGUUGUGUCAAAAUACAGUCAUGUAGGGACUGUGAUAGAAUGUAGAAAUGAAAAUUCUUGUGUUGGGGAAUUCUUGAAAAUUCUUUUCUUGUUAAGGUGGUUUUUUUUACCAUGUUCAAAAUUGUACUUUACAGUUGUUGCUAAUUUGUUAUUCUAGUUAAAGCAUCAAUGUGUCGGAAUCCCUUCUCUUCCCGCCCAGAAAAUCUAGGUUAGGUCUGUCUGCCUCUGUAACUUUGCUGAGACAUCACAUACCUGAUUCAUGGAGUUGUCAGGAAGUGAUACACCUUCUUACAGUGCCCUGUACCUUGUCUUCCUGGCACUUGAAAUGGGAUAUGUUAUUGAACUUGUAGCGUGUACUUCACAUCCUCCACCACCAGCUACUCCCUUUAAGUAUGGUAAUUCCUUCCUCCUGAGACUUGGCCCGGUACUGGAGAACCAAGAAUCAAAAGCCUAAGGUCAAUAGCACUUUUGGACUUUUGGAAAAAUCUAAACUCAUUGAGGGGAAUGGAGCAGUAAGGAGAGAAGGAAGAAGGGCUGUGAGAAGCUAGGAGGAAUAUUCCCAGGCCACAUAACAGACAAGGAGUGUCCGCCUGCACUUGGAGAAACUAGACCUCAAAGCACUAAUAAAAACCACAAUGGCAAUGGAACUAACACAAAAUACUUAUCAUGAACCAGAAACGUAUCAUGGGAAAAAAUAAAUAAUAAAUGUA